rnacentral:rRNA from 1 species
GACGAACGCUGGCGGCGUGCUUAACACAUGCAAGUCGAACGGAAAGGCCCUGCUUUUGUGGGGUGCUCGAGUGGCGAACGGGUGAGUAACACGUGAGUAACCUGCCCUUGACGUUGGGAUAACUUCAGGAAACUGGGUCUAAUACCGGAUAGGAGCUCCUGCUGCAUGGUGGGGGUUGGAAAGUUUCGGCGGUUGGGGAUGGACUCGCGGCUUAUCAGCUUGUUGGUGGGGUAGUGGCUUACCAAGGCUGUGACGGGUAGCCGGCCUGAGAGGGUGACCGGCCACAUUGGGACUGAGAUACGGACCAGAGUGCUACGGGAGGCAGCAGUGGGGAAUAUUGCACAAUGGGCGGAAGCCUGAUGCAGAAACGCCGCGUGCGGGAUGACGGCCUUCGGGUUGUAAACCGCUUUCGCCUGUGACGAAGCGUGAGUGACGGUAAUGGGUAAAGAAGCACCGGCUAACUACGUG